AAGUCGUAACAAGGUUUCCGUAGGUGAACCUGCGGAAGGAUCAUUAACACGUAUCCAACGUUAAACAACUCUGUGAACCUUCACCCCUGCUCUCCUUGUAUUUCGGUACUUGGAUUUGAUGCGGUCGAAGCAAUUAGACUUGCCUCUGUGGGGUAGUCAGUGGGUGAAAGUGCCACUGGUUACUUAAGCGGAGUACUGCACCCGGACUAACCGGGGUGGGAUCAUCGAGUGUCCUCACGGCCGAUGAACAAGUCUCUGAGCGCAAGCUCCAAUAUUAACCCCGUCUUUAAUCUUUAGGGAGCUGGUCGCUUCGGCGCCGCCCCUGUCGUGAAAGCUGAACAACUGUUAACAAUGGAUAUCUUGGUUCUC
rnacentral:misc_RNA from 1 species